rnacentral:rRNA from 1 species
GAUGAACGCUAGCGGCAGGCUUAAUACAUGCAAGUCGUGGGGCAGCAUGAGUAGCAAUACUUGAUGGCGACCGGCAAACGGGUGAGGAACACGUACACAACCUUCCUUCAAGCGGGGAAUAGCCCAGAGAAAUUUGGAUUAAUACCCCAUAAUACAUUUGAUAAGGCAUCUUAUUAAUAUUAAAGCUUCGGCACUUGAUGAUGGGUGUGCGGCUGAUUAGAUAGUUGGCGGGUAACGGCCCACCAAGUCUACGAUCAGUAGCUGAUGUGAGAGCAUGAUCAGCCACACGGGCACUGAGACACGGGCCCGACUCCUAACGGGGAGGCAGCAGUAAGGAAUAUUGGACAAUGGACGAAAGUCUGAUCCAGCCAUGCCGCGUGAAGGAUUAAGGUCCUCUGGAUUGUAAACUUCUUUAUAUGGGACGAAAAAGGGCAUUCUUGUUCACUUGACGGUACCAUAUGAAUAAGCACCGGCUAACUCCGUGCCAGCA